rnacentral:rRNA from 1 species
GGUCAAGUGAAGAAGCGCAUACGGUGGAUGCCUUGGCAGUCAGAGGCGAUGAAAGACGUGGUAGCCUGCGAAAAGCUUCGGGGAGUCGGCAAACAGACUGUGAUCCGGAGAUGUCUGAAUGGGGGAACCCAGCCAUCACAAGAUGGUUAUCUUACACUGAAUACAUAGGUGUAAGAGGCGAACCAGGGGAACUGAAACAUCUAAGUACCCUGAGGAAAAGAAAUCAACCGAGAUUCCCUUAGUAGUGGCGAGCGAACGGGGACCAGCCCUUAAGUUGUAUUGAGAUUAGCGGAACGCUCUGGAAAGUGCGGCCAUAGUGGGUGAUAGCCCUGUACGCGAAAAUCCCUUUGCAAUGAAAUCGAGUAGGACGGGGCACGAGAAACCUUGUCUGAAUAUGGGGGGACCAUCCUCCAAGGCUAAAUACUACUGACUGACCGAUAGUGAACCAGUACCGUGAGGGAAAGGCGAAAAGAACCGCGGAGAGCGGAGUGAAAUAGAUCCUGAAACCGUAUGCGUACAAGCAGUGGGAGCCCACUUUGUUGGGUGACUGCGUACCUUUUGUAUAAUGGGUCAGCGACUUAUUUUCAGUGGCGAGCUUAACCGAAUAGGGAGGCGUAGCGAAAGCGAGUCUUAAUAGGGCGUCUAGUCGCUGGGAAUAGACCCGAAACCGGGCGAUCUAUCCAUGGGCAGGUUGAAGGUUGGGUAACACUAACUGGAGGACCGAACCGACUACCGUUGAAAAGUUAGCGGAUGACCUGUGGAUCGGAGUGAAAGGCUAAUCAAGCUCGGAGAUAGCUGGUUCUCCUCGAAAGCUAUUUAGGUAGCGCCUCAUGUAUCACUGUAGGGGUAGAGCACUGUUUCGGCUAGGGGUCAUCCCGACUUACCAAACCGAUGCAAACUCCGAAUACCUACAAGUGCCGAGCAUGGGAGACACACGGCGGGUGCUAACGUCCGUCGUGAAAAGGGAAACAACCCAGACCGUCAGCUAAGGUCCCAAAGUCAUGGUUAAGUGGGAAACGAUGUGGGAAGGCUUAGACAGCUAGGAGGUUGGCUUAGAAGCAGCCACCCUUUAAAGAAAGCGUAAUAGCUCACUAGUCGAGUCGGCCUGCGCGGAAGAUGUAACGGGGCUCAAACCAUGCACCGAAGCUACGGGUAUCACCUUUGGUGAUGCGGUAGAGGAGCGUUCUGUAAGCCUGUGAAGGUGAGUUGAGAAGCUUGCUGGAGGUAUCAGAAGUGCGAAUGCUGACAUGAGUAACGACAAUGGGUGUGAAAAACACCCACGCCGAAAGACCAAGGUUUCCUGCGCAACGUUAAUCGACGCAGGGUUAGUCGGUCCCUAAGGCGAGGCUGAAAAGCGUAGUCGAUGGAAAACAGGUUAAUAUUCCUGUACUUCUGGUUAUUGCGAUGGAGGGACGGAGAAGGCUAGGCCAGCCUGGCGUUGGUAGUCCAGGUUUAAGGUGGUAGGCUGAGAUCUUAGGUAAAUCCGGGAUCUUAAGGCCGAGAGCUGAUGACGAGUGUUCUUUUAGAACAUGAAGUGGUUGAUGCCAUGCUUCCAAGAAAAGCUUCUAAGCUUCAGGUAACCAGGAACCGUACCCCAAACCGACACAGGUGGUUGGGUAGAGAAUACCAAGGCGCUUGAGAGAACUCGGGUGAAGGAACUAGGCAAAAUGGCACCGUAACUUCGGGAGAAGGUGCGCCGGUGAGGGUGAAGCAUUUACUGCGUAAGCCCACGCCGGUCGAAGAUACCAGGCCGCUGCGACUGUUUAUUAAAAACACAGCACUCUGCAAACACGAAAGUGGACGUAUAGGGUGUGACGCCUGCCCGGUGCCGGAAGGUUAAUUGAUGGGGUUAGCGCAAGCGAAGCUCUUGAUCGAAGCCCCGGUAAACGGCGGCCGUAACUAUAACGGUCCUAAGGUAGCGAAAUUCCUUGUCGGGUAAGUUCCGACCUGCACGAAUGGCGUAACGAUGGCGGCGCUGUCUCCACCCGAGACUCAGUGAAAUUGAAAUCGCUGUGAAGAUGCAGUGUAUCCGCGGCUAGACGGAAAGACCCCGUGAACCUUUACUAUAGCUUUGCACUGGACUUUGAAUUUGCUUGUGUAGGAUAGGUGGGAGGCUUUGAAGCGUGGACGCCAGUCUGCGUGGAGCCAACCUUGAAAUACCACCCUGGCAACUUUGAGGUUCUAACUCAGGUCCGUUAUCCGGAUCGAGGACAGUGUAUGGUGGGUAGUUUGACUGGGGCGGUCUCCUCCUAAAGAGUAACGGAGGAGUACGAAGGUGCGCUCAGACCGGUCGGAAAUCGGUCGUAGAGUAUAAAGGCAAAAGCGCGCUUGACUGCGAGACAGACACGUCGAGCAGGUACGAAAGUAGGUCUUAGUGAUCCGGUGGUUCUGUAUGGAAGGGCCAUCGCUCAACGGAUAAAAGGUACUCCGGGGAUAACAGGCUGAUACCGCCCAAGAGUUCAUAUCGACGGCGGUGUUUGGCACCUCGAUGUCGGCUCAUCACAUCCUGGGGCUGAAGCCGGUCCCAAGGGUAUGGCUGUUCGCCAUUUAAAGUGGUACGCGAGCUGGGUUUAGAACGUCGUGAGACAGUUCGGUCCCUAUCUGCCGUGGACGUUUGAGAUUUGAGAGGGGCUGCUCCUAGUACGAGAGGACCGGAGUGGACGAACCUCUGGUGUUCCGGUUGUCACGCCAGUGGCAUUGCCGGGUAGCUAUGUUCGGAAAAGAUAACCGCUGAAAGCAUCUAAGCGGGAAACUUGCCUCAAGAUGAGAUCUCACUGGAACCUAGAGUUCCCUGAAGGGCCGUCGAAGACUACGACGUUGAUAGGUUGGGUGUGUAAGCGCUGUGAGGCGUUGAGCUAACCAAUACUAAUUGCCCGUGAGGCUUGACCAU